UGAUGUUUUAUAUGCCAGUUGCAGAAGAUGGGGGGGAAAAAUCUCAUUAGUUUAAUUCACCAUUCAUACUCUCUUUAUUCAAAAUGUUUAUAACAGUUGUCUCUUGCGCACACAGUACCAAUAUCCAAACUUCUCCUUUGUAUGUGUCCUUCAGUUAACUUGUUUUGAUUCUGUUUUGUAGCUUGUCACCUUUGGGGGGGAAAAAAUCACUUUGGCUCUUAGGUUUAAAGAAGCUGCGAUUCCUAUGAACGUGUUUUCUUCAGGUUGUUGAGAGGGAGAAGGGGAAGAUUAUUUCCUUCCCUAGAGCCUCUUGAUUGUUGUAGGAAGGUAUCAUUUCUCUGCUUCUUUAUUUCUCCUUGAGCCUACUGGCUGCUGUGCAUGAUGGGGUAUAUCUCUUGCUAUUCUUGACUUCCCUCAGCCUCACCUCUGAGGUUUUGUUCAGUUUUAUCUGAUACUCCUUGUGAAUAGUUGCAGUGCUUGUUCACACACUUGUCUCUUGGAGAUUUGUAAGCAACAGCAGAAAGAGAACAGAUGACAGCUGACCACCAGUUUGUGAAGAGCAGAAGUGAAACUGAUGGGAGCGUUCUUAAUUUCAUACUGCUGCUGCUGCUGCUUAGAAAUAAUAGGAGAGACACUGGAGUGAUCUGUUUGUAGUCACAUGAAGACAGCACUGAAUUAGUUUAUAUUUGGAUGGUUAACUGCAACCAAAAGGAUUAGCAACUAAAAAAAGAGAAGCUAGAGUUUGCAUAAAUUGAUGGAUUAGCCCACAACCACCACUUGAAAGCCUUGCAGUUACCAUUAAGAAGUAGAUGAGUGGAUUCUUUGAACCUUGCUAUAUUUAAUCACCAAGCAACUGCGGAUCUCAGCCUCUCAUGAAGAAUUUCAUAUACUCGCUAUACUGUUUUUAAAAGUUUGUCACAAUAAAUAAAAAAUCCAUCGUCAAAUAUGAUGAUUUGGCCUAAUGAAUCUCUUCUGAUUCCUCAUACAGGCCAGUUAGUUAAAUGUUAUUACUGCAUUUAUAAGAUGCCCAUCACUGUAGUAUCUAGGCACAUGUUACAAGGUUUACAUUUUGUCAAUUUAUAUUGUAAAUGAGAAUUAAGAAACAUGAAACCCCUUAUUAUCCUCAUCUUUUAAUCUGAUUUUUCAGCUAGGAACCUAGGAAUUAAUAGUUUAAUUAUUUGUAAAGUUCUGAGCAAAGAGAUGUAUCUUGUGGCACUUUCUAAACAUAGCCUGGUUUGAAAGCAUAUUUCUUUAUAGAAAGAAUUCCAGAGAUGUGGCCAGCUACCAAAAAUACCCAGUUUUCAGCUCCAUAUGAAUAGUAUACAAAUUUAGUUCCAGUUAAAUAUGAAUUUAAUUUUUGAAAUAUGGACAUAAUAUGCUUGAAACUUUUAGGAUUGAAAGUCUUUGGUUGGGAGGGAUGCAAACUCUGUUAAGAAAAUAAUUACAAAGUCACAUUAGUGCAAGUGCAUUGUAAACCAUGUAAAAUGGGAAUAUUUUGUGCUCAUGAUUACCCUACAGAAUUUUUUCAUUUAUUAAUAUAAGUACUUAUUAUUGUAUUGUAUAAUUAAGGAUCUUUUCUUUAUACAAUUUAACAAAAAAAUAAAAAUUU